AUUGAACGCUGGCGGCAUGCCUAACACAUGCAAGUCGAACGGGAGUAAGGGGCAACCUUUACUUUAGUGGCGGACGGGUGAGGAAUGCGUAGGAAUCUACCCUAAGGCGGGGGAUAACUCGGGGAAACCCGAGCUAAUACCGCAUACGCACUAUGGUGGAAAGCCGGGACCGCAAGGCCUGGCGCUAACAGAUGAGCCCA
rnacentral:rRNA from 1 species